GGAUAUGAGGGCAAUGUGGCUGUGACCUCUGUCACCCCACUACUGUCAUAUUGUCAAGGUUGAUUUGGCUGGCUAGGCGGGUGUCCCCUUCCUCCCUCGCCACCCCCUGUGCAUCCCUCCUGAAGCUGCGCGCUCAGUCAAAGGGAAGGUCUCCCCGAAGAGAGACCGUUCUCCGGCUGAGGAGACGAGACGCCGCGCUCCCCUGCUAGACCUCCAAACAAGCUGAGAACAGAACAAACAACUCUGUAUUUCUGAUGUAAAAUCCGUUUCAGUCUAAACCUACACAAGAAUACUGAUAUCCAGGUAU
rnacentral:snRNA from 1 species